rnacentral:rRNA from 1 species
GGAUUACCUCAGUAACGGCGAGUGAAGCGGUAACAGCUCAAAUUUGAAAUCGGACUCCUGGUCGGGGUUCGAGUUGUAAUUUGUAGAACAGGCUUCGGGUGAGGUCGCGGCCGAAAUUCCUUGGAACAGGAUGUCGCAGAGGGUGAGAGUCCCGUACGCGGCCGAUGGCCUUCGCUCGUGUGAAGCUCUCUCGACGAGUCGAGUUGUUUGGGAAUGCAGCUCUAAAUGGGUGGUACAUGGCAUCUAAAGCUAAAUAUGGGCCAGAGACCGAUAGCGCACAAGUAGAGUGAUCGAAAGAUGAAAAGUACUUUGGAAAGAGGGUUAAACAGUACGUGAAAUUGUUGAAAGGGAAGCGCUCGCAACCAGACGUGCGCCCGGUUGAUCAUCUCGGGUUCGCUCGGGUGCACUGGACCGGGAGGCAGGCUCGCAUCAGUUUGGGUGGUUGGAGAAAGGCUCGAGGAAUGUGGCUCCGCUCGCGGAGUGUUAUAGCCUCGGGCGUCAUGCGACCUACCGGGACUGAGGACCGCGCUUCGGCGAGGAUGCGGGCGUAAUGGUUGUGAGCGACCCGUCUUGAAACACGGACCAAGGAGUCUAACAUCUAUGCGAGUAUUUGGGUGUUAAACCCACGUGCGCAAUCAAAGUGAACGCAGGUGAGAGCCCUUGAGGGUGCAUCACCGACCGAUCCUGAUGUCUUCGGAUGGAUUUGAGUAGCAGCAUAGCUGUUGGGACCCGAAAGAGAGUGAACUUUACGUGGAUAGGCCGAAGUCAGAGGAAACUCUGAUGGAGGGUCGCAGCGGUUCUGACGUGCAAAUCGAUCGUCAAAUUUGCGUAAAGGGGCGAAAGACUAAUCGAACUUUCUAGUAGCUGGUUCCUGCCGAAGUUUCCCUCAGGAUAGCAGUGUUGUCUUCAGUUUUAUGAGGUAAAGCGAAUGAUUAGAGGCCUUGGGGUCGAAACGACCUUAACCUAUUCUCAAACUUUGAAUAUGUAAGAAGUCCUCG